GACGAACGCUGGCGGCGUGCCUAAUACAUGCAAGUUGAGCGCUGAAGGUUGGUACUUGUACCAACUGGAUGAGCAGCGAACGGGUGAGUAACGCGUGGGGAAUCUGCCUUUGAGCGGGGGACAACAUUUGGAAACGAAUGCUAAUACUGCAUAAAAACUUUAAACACAAGUUUUAAGUUUGAAAGAUGCAAUUGCAUCACUCAAAGAUGAUCCCGCGUUGUAUUAGCUAGUUGGUGAGGUAAAGGCUCACCAAGGCGAUGAUACAUAGCCGACCUGAGAGGGUGAUCGGCCACAUUGGGACUGAGACACGGCCCAAACUCCUACGGGAGGCAGCAGUAGGGAAUCUUCGGCAAUGGACGAAAGUCUGACCGAGCAACGCCGCGUGAGUGAAGAAGGUUUUCGGAUCGUAAAACUCUGUUGGUAGAGAAGAACGUUGGUGAGAGUGGAAAGCUCAUCAAGUGACGGUAACUACCCAGAAAGGGACGGCUAACUACGU
rnacentral:rRNA from 1 species